rnacentral:lncRNA from 1 species
CAAUUUUGAGUACAAAAGAAAGUAAAAUUCUGAAUCAAGAUGAAUACAAUUGAUUUCAAAUCCAUCAUAAAACAAACUUGAUAAUCCAAUUUUUUUUGUUAGAAUUUGUUACCGGCAAUUUUGGGCAGCAAUCGCUACUCCCAAUUACAGUAUCUCACAAAUCACAAUCAUCGCCUCUCUCUCGUCCCAACCUGCCGUUCCCUAGAUCUCUCUAGCUAUCUCAUCUCCUUGUCGUAGUUGCCACACCAUCGCCGGCGUCGCGCCAUCGCCACCGCCAUUGCCGCUGCGUCUCUGCCGUCCUAUUUUUCCCCUCUCUCGGUUUCUCUCGUUCAUCAGCUGUAGCGCUUUCGAUUGCACUUCGUUCUGCCGCCUAUAGCAGCGCCGUUCGUCACAACAUCGCCGUCGAGACUCGAGCCACCGCCUGACGAAAUCUGCUUCAACGUGCCUUAAUUUCUUCCUUGGAUUCGAUUUCGAGGAGAUCUGCUUGCGGCUGGAGGCGGACAAGAGAUCUACCUGAAUCUGGAUGGCCGACAGAUCUAGCUUCUCUUCGUCGGACAUAACUCAGUUGAAACAUGAGGAGAUCGACUUCGCUGUGCGUCGCGAUGGCGGUGGAGAAGAAGAAGCCGAAGGAGGACCGCCCCUACCUGGAGUCGGAGUGCCGCGACCUAGCGGAGGCCAACAAGUGGCGCCAACAAAUCAUGCGCGAGAUCGGCCGAAAAAUCGCUGAGAUCUAGAACGAAGGCGAGACAAAGCGAGAGCGGUGGUGAUUGAAGCGGCGGAGUAUUUGAGACGAAGCGCUUCGUGGCGAGGGGUGAAGCAGAAGAUGGCAGAGGCGACGAGGCCGGGGCAGAGACGACGAGGCCAGGGGCGGCGGCGCUUCGCGGCGGGGGGCGAACCAGGAGAUGGCGGAGGCGACGAGGCCGAGGCGGCGAUCUGAGAUCGAAAAGAAAGGGAGGGAGGGAGAGAGAGAGAGAAGGGGGAAGGGCCGUGAGGGAGAAGAGAGAGAAAGAGAGUGGAGAGAGAGAGUACAUAUAUUUAAAGGAGGGUUAUUUUGUCUUUCAAUCAAAAAGUGGACUAAUUUUUAUUAUUUUAUCUUAGUGGACUAAUUUUUAUCUUUACAAUAUGAAAGUGGAUAGUUUUAUAUAUUAACUCAAUUAUAAAUAUUAUUAUUAUUAUUUUACAUUAAGAGGAUUAUUAUUAUUAUUAUUAUUAUUAUUNAGAACAUUAAAUUGUGAAUUCAUAAAUUUGAUUGUGAAUUUAAGAACAUUAAAAAAAUAAUUAUACAGCUCAAUCAAAUUGGUGUACAACACCAAAAUACAACAACUCAAUCUACCAUCAAUUGACUAUACAUCAGCUGUUUUUUCACAUCUAUUUCUCAUUCAUCAAGCUAAACUAAUUCACACAUCAUCUUCUUCCACAAAUUCCCAAAUUUCCUGCUCUUUUCCCCAAUUUCCAGUCCUUGCAAUUAAACUAACUUGAAGAAAGUAAAAUUGAAUUGAGGUUUAGAUAAACAAACCAUCCCAAUUUUGAGUACAAAAGAAAGUAAAAUUCUGAAUCAAGAUGAAUACAAUUGAUUUCAAAUCCAUCAUAAAACAAACUUGAUAAUCCAAUUUUUUUUUGUAGAAUUUGUUACCGGCAAUUUUGGGCAGCAAUCGCUACUCCCAAUUACAGUAUCUCACAAAUCACAAUCAUCGCCUCUCUCUCGUCCCAACCUGCCGUUCCCUAGAUCUCUCUAGCUAUCUCAUCUCCUUGUCGUAGUUGCCACACCAUCGCCGGCGUCGCGCCAUCGCCACCGCCAUUGCCGCUGCGUCUCUGCCGUCCUAUUUUUCCCCUCUCUCGGUUUCUCUCGUUCAUCAGCUAUAGCGCUUUCGAUUGCACUUCGUUCUGCCGCCUAUAGCAGCGUCGUUCGUCACAACAUCGCCGUCGAGACUCGAGCCACCGCCUGACGAAAUCUGCUUCAACGUGCCUUAAUUUCUUCCUUGGAUUCGAUUUCGAGGAGAUCUGCUUGCGGCUGGAGGCGGACAAGAGAUCUACCUGAAUCUGGAUGGCCGGCGGAUCUGACUUCUCUUCGUCGGACAUAACUUAGUUGAAACUUGAGGAGAUCGACUUCGCUGUGCAUCGCGAUGGUGGUGGAGAAGAAGAAGCCGAAGGAGGACCGCCCCUACCUGGAGUCGGAGUGCCGCGACCUAGCGGAGGCCAACAAGUGGCGCCAGCAAAUCAUGCGCGAGAUCGGCCGGAAAAUCGCUGAGAUCUAGAACGAAGGCGAGACGAAGCGAGAGCGGCGGUGAUUGAAGCGGCGGAGUAUUUGAGACGAAGCGCUUCGUGGCGGGGGGACGAGGCCGGGGCAGAGACGACGAGGCCGGGGGAGGCGGCGCUUCGCGGCGGGGGGCGAACCAGGAGAUGGCGGAGGCGAUGACGAGGCCGAGGCGGCGAUCUGAGCCGGAAGGGAGGGAGGGAGAGAGAGAGAGAAGGGGGAAGGGCCGUG